GGAGGAUCCCCCCAUCACGGUUUCGCUCGGCCCCAUGGGUCGCCUCCUCCGACGGCUCCAUCCAUUCGAGGCUUCCGAGCAUCCUCUACAGAUGGGCUUACUGCCAACGGGAUCCGGCUUCUCAGAGAAGGUCUAGAAGGAUUGUACGACCACCUCAAGAAUGUGCCGGAUGCAGAUCUGGACCCGGGCGCCACCCCCGAAUGGUGGACCAAUGAGGUUCGGGAGCUUGGUUACGAUACGGAGGACUUCUUCGACGAGGUUAUGCAAUCCGGUGCUGGUGAAGUCGCCAUUGUCCGCAGAAGCUCUCGUCUUACUGCAAUCUUUGGGGCUGGCAAUAGGCGGAAGCAGCACCGGCGCCAGAUUGCGGAAGAUUUCUCACAGCUAAUGGCUCGUGUGGAUGACGCCAGAGAAAGGUGCGAAAGUUUCCAGCUUGCUCCGGCAGAGACAGCCGACCGUGGGCAAGCCGGUACCAGCCACCACAGGCCUGAUUUGUCCCCGGACCUGCCGGUGUCCGCUGUCUCCAUCCCCGACGUCAGCGUGGUCACAGCUGACCAUAGCCUUGUUGGUCUCGAGGUACCCAUGAAGAAGCUUGGUAAACUGCUGGCUUUCGACGACCACAACCAGAACCAGCUUAAGGUGAUACCCAUCAUUGGAUCUGCAGGAGUUGGAAAAACCACUGUUGCCAGAACAAUAUAUCAUCAGUAUGGAGGGGAAUUCCAGUGCAAGGCUUUUGUGCGGGUGUCCCGAAAUCCCGAUAUGAGGAGGCUUCUCACCACCAUCCUCUCACAAACUAAGGCACCAUGGACUCAUGCCUUUUCUGAUGUGCAGGACCUUAUUGAGGGUAUCAUCAAACAUCUUCAAGGAAAAAGCUACUUCAUUGUAGUCGAUGAUUUAUGGACAUCAUCAGAAUGGGAUAUUAUUAGCCGUGCUUUUCAUGAUGGUGAUUGCUGCAGCAGAAUACUGACAACCACACAAGUUGAGGAUGUAGCAUUAGCAUGUUCUGGUUAUGAGUCAGAAUACAUAUUUGAGAUGAGACCUCUUAAUUAUGGCGAAUCUCGGAAAUUAUUCUUCAAUAAUGUUUUUGGUCCUGAAGGUGAAGGUGCUUGCCCUCAAGAGUUUGAAGCAGUUGCAGAUAGGAUUAUCAGGAAAUGCGGUGGUUUACCAUUAACAAUUGUAAAUAUAGCAAGCCUGUUGGUACCAAGCAAGCGGAACCCUGUAAUGCACCAAUGGGAGAAGGUAGAAAGUUCUCUACCCUCCACUUUGUGCACAGAUCCUACUUCCCAAGGAAUGAAAGAUGUUCUAAUCCUUAUUUACAAUAAGCUUCCAGUUCAUUUGAAGACAUGCUUGCUCUACCUUAGAAUGUAUCCAGAGGGCUGCACUAUCUGGAAGGAUGAUUUGGUGAAGCAAUGGCUAGCAGAAAGUUUGGUUGGUAACACUGAGUAUGGUUACUUUGACGAGCUUGUCAGAAGAGGUAUGAUCCAACCUGUAGACACCAACUAUGAGGGGGAGGUGUUGUCAUGUACAGUUAACCACAUGGUAAUGGAUCUUAUCAGGUAA
rnacentral:rRNA from 1 species